GGGUCCCUUGUCUAACAGACAGUACAGAGCUCUUCUAAACCUUUGGUAUAGGUUCAAAUCCUAUUGGAGGCA
rnacentral:tRNA from 1 species